UCUUAUGGAUUAGCAAAGAAAGUGGUUUCUUGAGAUGGAAUCUAUUUCUAGUGGAGAUGCUGUGAG
rnacentral:pre_miRNA from 1 species